UGCAGUCGAGCGAAUCGAUGGGAGCUUGCUCCCUGAGAUUAGCGGCGGACGGGUGAGUAACACGUGGGCAACCUGCCUAUAAGACUGGGAUAACUUCGGGAAACCGGAGCUAAUACCGGAUACGUUCUUUUCUCGCAUGAGAGAAGAUGGAAAGACGGUUUCGGCUGUCACUUAUAGAUGGGCCCGCGGCGCAUUAGCUAGUUGGUGAGGUAAUGGCUCACCAAGGCGACGAUGCGUAGCCGACCUGAGAGGGUGAUCGGCCACACUGGGACUGAGACACGGCCCAGACUCCUACGGGAGGCAGCAGUAGGGAAUCUUCCGCAAUGGACGAAAGUCUGACGGAGCAACGCCGCGUGAACGAAGAAGGCCUUCGGGUCG
rnacentral:rRNA from 1 species